rnacentral:lncRNA from 1 species
AYGGUCUGUGAGGUAGAGCUGCCCAGCUGCGGGCCCUGAGUGGUGCUCACUUAAAAUUCUGGUGUUUUAUUAGGUUAGAAUCAGAUUCUCCAGCAAAGGGUGAGACUGCAAGAUGUGGAAACCACAAGGGGAUAUCUGAGAGAAAGGUUUGGCUCAGUUUACCUUUGCUGUUCACACCUCACCUUGUCCAAAAAUAUCUUCUAAACUCAGAAUUCCUAAGAGGACCUUGAAGAAGUGCCAAAGUCCUUCAACUGCCUCCUGGGAAACAUUAGGGUUAUUCAUGGCUUCCUCCUUUGGUGGCUGCAGCGUCUUCUGACUGUUGUGACGGAGCCUGACGCUGGCCAGCGGCCACCACCRAGCUUAAGCAUGGAGUCAAAGGGGGCCCUGAAGGCAGCCUUUCAUCUUGGGAUGCAACCUCACCUAUGCCUAACCUGUCACCCUGGGUUUUUGAAUUCAUAAAUUCCUCUCCUUAUUUAUUUAUUUAUUUGCAAUAAAACAUUUAGAGUUGAAUUUUCU